UGUGAACGCUGGCGGUAGGCCUAACACAUGCAAGUCGAACGGCAGCACAGUAAGAGCUUGCUCUUACGGGUGGCGAGUGGCGGACGGGUGAGGAAUACAUCGGAAUCUACUUUUUCGUGGGGGAUAACGUAGGGAAACUUACGCUAAUAACGCAUACGACCUACGGGUGAAAGCAGGGGAUCUUCGGACCUUGCGCGAUUGAAUGAGCCGAUGUCGGAUUAGCUAGUUGGCGGGGUAAAGGCCCACCAAGGCGACGAUCCGUAGCUGGUCUGAGAGGAUGAUCAGCCACACUGGAACUGAGACACGGUCCAGACUCCUACGGGAGGCAGCAGUGGGGAAUAUUGGACAAUGGGCGCAAGCCUGAUCCAGCCAUACCGCGUGGGUGAAGAAGGCCUUCGGGUUGUAAAGCCCUUUUGUUGGGAAAGAAAAGCAGCAGGUUAAUACCCCGCUGUUCUGACGGUACCCAAAGAAUAAGCACCGGCUAACUUCGUG
rnacentral:rRNA from 1 species